rnacentral:rRNA from 1 species
ACUCCUACGGGAGGCAGCAGUGGGGAAUAUUGCACAAUGGGCGCAAGCCUGAUGCAGCCAUGCCGCGUGUGUGAAGAAGGCCUUCGGUUGUAAAGCACUUUCAGUCGUGAGGAAGGUGGUAGUGUUAAUAGCACUAUCAUUUGACGUUAGCGACAGAAGAAGCACCGGCUAACUCCGUGCCAGCAGCCGCGGUAAUACGGAGGGGUGCGAGCGUUAAUCGGAAUUACUGGGCGUAAAGCGCAUGCAGGUGGUUUGUUAAGUCAGAUGUGAAAGCCCGGGGCUCAACCUCGGAAUAGCAUUUGAAACUGGCAGACUAGAGUACUGUAGAGGGGGUAGAAUUUCAGGUGUAGCGGUGAAAUGCGUAGAGAUCUGAAGGAAUACCGGUGGCGAAAGGCGGCCCCCUGGACAGAUACUGACACUCAGAUGCGAAAGCGUGGGGAGCAAACAGGAUUAGAUACCCUGGUAGGACAGUG